AUUACGGUAAUUGCACUCGGAAGCCCACGAAUAGCCCCGUUGUUUCUGGGGAUGAAAGAGAGCGGUGAAAGAUAACAUUUACAAGAGCAAGAAAAGAAUAAAGUUGUCAGCAAAACGACCCUCCCGUGUGAUAAAACCUCCAUGGAGAUUUAGAGAGGUUUUGAAACCAAAGGAGCAACUUCUGGCGAGGAAAGACUCGCUGUGCCACCCUGCAGGAGAGGCCUAUGACCCGUCAGUAGUUCCAGGAGGAGCUUACUGCACACCUCCUUGGGGUUGACUUGAAAGGUGGCCUUCAGAAGACCCCAGGUCAGCACCUACCUGUCCCCACAAGCAACUGACAGACCAAAGGGCAUAGAGCCAGCAUGGGGCGACGGCGCUACAAUCUCUGCACCAAGAGCACUCCCUGGAAGUGUGAGACCUGUGAUGUGGGCCUGUGUUUGUAGCCAGACAGAAACUGUCACUGGCAGUACCACCAAGGACUUUCAGGAGGCAGGGAGGAGGGAAUUGCCCUGUAUAAUAAAAAACGCCUGUACAUAGUUUACAUUUUAUGCACUGUUUUUGCACAUUUAGAGACAAAGAAUCAGAAAUUUUAUUGUAAAUAGUUUUAUACUUGUCAGAUUUAAAAUUUUAACAUACAAAACCUGUUGUUCAUGUUCAAUUGCAUUGUUUUUCCUACUAAAACUCUUAAAAUCAAA